rnacentral:misc_RNA from 1 species
AGGAAAUUAGCCUGAUGAACUUUAGCAUCACAGUGAAAACAGAGAAAAGCUGAAUCAGAUGGACAAAACAGAGCAGCUUGAUCAUUGCAAAGCUCACAGAGUUUAGAGGACAGAAGUUCCAUUUUUGUAUACAAUUUCUAAAUUUUGGAAGCUUUGAUUUGUGAUAGUGAAAAUGGGGCGGAGAGAAAAGAUAUAGGAGGAAGAG